UGUACCUACGGGACGCAGCAGUGGGGAAUAUUGCACAAUGGGGGAAACCCUGAUGCAGCAACGCCGCGUGCAGGAAGAAGGUUUUCGGAUUGUAAACUGCUUUAGACAGGGAAGAAAAAAGACAGUACCUGUAGAAUAAGCUCCGGCUAACUACGUGCCAGCAGCCGCGGUAAUACGUAGGGAGCAAGCGCUAUCCGGAUUUAUUGGGUGUAAAGGGUGCGUAGACGGAGAAGCAAGUUAGUUGUGAAAUCCCUCGGCUUAACUGAGGAACUGCAACUAAAACUACUUCCCUUGAGUACUGGAGA
rnacentral:rRNA from 1 species